rnacentral:rRNA from 1 species
CAGCCGCCACGGUAAUACGUAGGGUGCAAGCGUUAAUCGGAAUUACUGGGCGUAAAGCGUGCGCAGGCGGUUUGUUAAGACAGAUGUGAAAUCCCCGGGCUCAACCUGGGAACUGCAUUUGUGACUGGCAGGCUAGAGUAUGGCAGAGGGGGGUGGAAUUCCGCGUGUAGCAGUGAAAUGCGUAGAUAUGCGGAGGAACACCGAUGGCGAAGGCAGCCCCCUGGGCCAAUACUGACGCUCAUGCACGAAAGCGUGGGGAGCAAACGGGAUUAGAUACCCCGGUAGUCCCUGUCUCUUAUAC